rnacentral:rRNA from 1 species
GUGGUUUCCCCCCUUUUUUCCCCWGGKGAUUUCCCCCCCAGCACGUGGGGUGGCGCCCCCCAUUUSUUYCCCAGAAGACUACCCCCCCAGCAGCUUGUGAGAUGGCCCAGAUCGUUUACCGUGAAAAAAUUAGAGUGUUCAAAGCAGGCAGAUCCAAUUUUCUGCCACCGAAUACAUUAGCAUGGGAUAAUGGAAUAGGACCCUGUCCUCCUAUUUUCAGUUGGUUUUGGCAGCGCGAGGACUAGGGUAAUGAUUAAUAGGGAUAGUUGGGGGCAUUAAUAUUUAAUUGUCAGAGGUGAAAUUCUUGGAUUUAUGAAAGAUUAACUUCUGCGAAAGCAUCUGCCAAGGAUGUUUUCAUUAAUCAAGAACGAAAGUUAGGGGAUCGAAGACGAUCAGAUACCGUCGUAGUCUUAACCAUAAACGAUGCCGACCAGCGAUUAGGAGACGUUGAAUMCAAAACUCCACCAUCGGUUGCGGUCGUCCUUGGCGUCUCGGUUUCSSCCGGGGCGCGGGRCGGUUAGCCMYUUGACCCSCAC